UACGAAGGGGGCUAGCGUUGUUCGGAUUUACUGGGCGUAAAGCGCACGUAGGCGGAUCGUUAAGUCGGGGGGUGAAAUCCUGGAGCUCAACUCCAGAACUGCCUUCGAUACUGGCGAUCUCGAGUCCGGAAGAGGUGAGUGGAACUCCUAGUGUAGAGGUGGAAUUCGUAGAUAUUAGGAAGAACACCAGUGGCGAAGGCGGCUCACUGGUCCGGUACUGACGCUGAGGUGCGAAAAGCGUGGGGGAGCAAAACAGG
rnacentral:rRNA from 1 species